rnacentral:rRNA from 1 species
UCGCGGCCUAUCAGCUUGUUGGUGGGGUAACGGCCUACCAAGGCAACGACGGGUAGCUGGUCUGAGAGGACGAUCAGCCACACUGGGACUGAGACACGGCCCAGACUCCUACGGGAGGCAGCAGUAGGGAAUCUUGCGCAAUGGGGGAAACCCUGACGCAGCGACGCCGCGUGCGGGAUGAAGGCCUUCGGGUCGUAAACCGCUUUCAGCAGGGACGAAAUUGACGGUACCUGCAGAAGAAGGCCCGGCCAACUACGUGCCAGCAGCCGCGGUGAUACGUAGGGGUCUAGCGUUGUCCGGAAUUAUUGGGCGUAAAGAGCUCGUAGGCGGUUCGGCAAGUCGGAUGUGAAAUCUCCACGCUUAACGUGGAGGGGCCAUUCGAAACUGCCGUGACUCGAGUCCGGUAGGGGAGUUCG